UACGAAGGGGGCUAGCGUUGUUCGGAUUUACUGGGCGUAAAGGGCGCGUAGGCGGCGCAACAAGUCACUUGUGAAAUCUCCGGGCUUAACCCGGAGCGGCCAAGUGAUACUGUCGUGCUAGAGUGCGGAAGGGGCUACUGGAAUUCUCGGUGUAGCGGUGAAAUGCGUAGAUAUCGAGAGGAACACCUGCGGCGAAGGCGGGUAGCUGGGCCGACACUGACGCUGAGGCGCGAAAGCCAGGGGAGCGAACGGG
rnacentral:rRNA from 1 species